UGAGGUACUUGUAAAAUAUGCGUGUUUAUUUCUAUGAAAUGGAUUUUCUUUUAGAGUAGGGAAUUGACUAGAAUUUGUGUAAAUUGGUUUUGUAAUCAAAUGCAGAAGUUGUGUAUGUAUACUGUUAUAAAAGGUUUUUUGUGAUGUUAGGUGUAGUAUACUAUGAAUGAUAUAAAAUCAAAGUGAAGAUAUAUGUUAAAAAUUAGAUUUUACAAUUGACUUGAAUAAAUAGUGUAGACUGUGUUAAUGUCUUGGAUAGAUUUUAAUAAC
rnacentral:lncRNA from 1 species